UGACAUUACAACGGACCAAGCACAUUUAAGAAAUCCAUGCCGACUAAUUCCAUACCGGAUGUAAUGAUUGGAGGAAGGAACCGAGAAUAUCUCAGCACAGGUGGCCAAAACAGGCGCGCGCUCGCCGGCUUCUUGUUUCCGCCUGUAAGGACGCAAGCAGACGCCAUCGUUAAUAGAUUAUCGAUCUGGGGACGUGAUCAGGGACAAUACAAAUGGAGAAUAGACACUAGCUAAUAACUUUAAGGGCAUAUUUAUUAAAAGGAUUGGAAUGUAUUGAAGAUUAAAAAUUAAUCAUCAAAAAUAACAAGUUUAUCUAGUAUAUAUCGUGAUGGUCAAUGCUACAUAGAUGUAAGCAAUAAUACGUAUUGUAGUACGUAUAUUGUGAAUAUCAUUACUACGCAUGCAUUUCACAGCAGUGUUGUGCAUACCUGUGACACAGCUGACUGCUACACCAAUCAGUGUACAUGCUAUGACGCUGAUCAUCGCGUACCACAUGUACGAUAUCCUGUACAUAUAAUUUCCAUUUGCGCUCUCUACUAUACUCGGGUUUGUAGCUAUAGCUGUCAUCUGAUUUACAUCCCUAAAUAUAGCAA